UAUGUAACCUACCUUCUUCAGGGGGAUAGCCUCUCGAAAGAGAGAUUAAGACCGCAUAACAUUGCAAUGUGGCAUCACAAAGCAAUCAAAUAUUUAUAGGAAGAAGAUGGGCAUGCGGAACAUUAGCUAGUUGGUAAGGUAACGGCUUACCAAGGCUACGAUGUUUAGGGGAUCUGAGAGGAUGGCCCCCCACACUGGUACUGAGACACGGACCAG
rnacentral:rRNA from 1 species